GCUGAAAUGAGUGAGAAGGACGAUGAAGGAAACAUCUGUGCUGUGUCUGCUCUAGAGGGAUUCAGCUGCAGUUGACGCUCGAUCCGGCAGGAGGGGUCGCGAGCGGAUGAUUGGCAGCUCGGCAGAAGGAGACGCGUGGGAAGUUUGAAGGUGGACAUUACAUACGGAUUGAGUGGAUUGAUUGGUUUUUGGACUUUGAACUACGGACUAGGAUCACGGAUUGUGGCAGUUGGCAUAAACUGGUAUGUGACUGGCUGGAAUGGCGUCUCUGGUAGAUGAGGACGAUGAUAUGGAUUUUGGUGACUGGACCCUGGUGGCUGGAGGGGGAAGAUCAGGAAGAGGGAGAAGCAGGAGAGAGGGCGCGGGUUUGGUUGGGUCACAGACGAGUAAAAGGAGUCUGGAAGAGAACAGCUCGGAUGAAGGGUCCAGGGUCGUGAGGAAGAAGACGAGGCCUCAGUCCUGGUGAUGGACGAGUCAUCUCCCUUGUUCCCAGACUCAGCUUUCACUGCAGGAAGUAUGUGAUUUUGAUCGGGAAUAACAACAGGUGAAGGGGCCAUCACCUCAAAGAUGGAGUCCUAUCAAGCAUCGCAGGCACGUGGACCUCUGGAAUGUAUUGAUUGUUUAAAAGAAAUCAAUUACCAAAAGAAGCAAAACAUUUGUGACUUAACUCAAAUUCAAAUACACGUACUGUAUGAAUUUUGAGAGGGCAGUGUGCCUGAAAUCAAACAUGAGAACUUGUUCACUUACUGAACAGCAUAUGUCUGCAAGUAUAAUACUAACCCUAGGAGUAC